CGCACCACAAUUAUCAAUUCCAAUCAGUUGUAGGUAUAUUGAUGAAUUAAACUAAUGAAGCGUACCAUAAUAUAGACUCUACUCGCACAUAUUCAAUCACGCAAUUACAAUGCUUAGCAAGUGAUAAUAAAGCAGAUAACAUUCAUUAGCUGGUGCUAAAGCAUUUUACUUGCGUUUUGUAUCUACAUUAUAAAAAUAUUUUGUUCAACAAUUAGUUUUUUCGAACAUGCUAUUCACGAGAUUACUCAAAGUCUUUCUACUGCUUUGGCUGAUGACAGCGUCUUUUUCUGCAGCAGACAAAAUGAUUAAGAAUCCAAAGAAGGUAAAAACAGGCAAACGAUUUCGGGAAGAUCUGCAUUAGAAAACAAAAAUGAAGAUGUCGAAUUUGAAAAUAUUUUGUUCUUCACCCGAGGCAAUGUCCGACUAAUAACUAAUUAAUAUUAAAAACAUUCUUUAACAUGUCAUUCCGUGUAAUCAAACAGAAAAUUUAUUUGCAAAAUAAACACCUUCUUCGCUCCCAGA